AUUCUCGAGAAAUCGGUGAACCUACAUA
rnacentral:sRNA from 1 species